rnacentral:lncRNA from 1 species
ACGCCUACUCUUGUGAUCAAACGAGUUCUUCAACUCUCAUGGGUUCUCUAUCUCAAUCAUUCAACUCCUACUCAAGCUCUAAAAUUUUGAAGAGAAAAAGCAUAAUGUAAGGUUUGUCCUAACUCUUUUGUAAGUGUAUCUAAAAACUUGUUCUUGUUUUCUUCUACAAUAUUAUUUGUUUAUGUUAAUUGUUAACUGAAUAUGAAGGAUCCAAAGAAGGAAAAAUGUGAUUUUUAGGAAUGGAUUGAUGAAGAUGAAGAAAAUAUAACCAAGAACAAGAAUAAAAUAGAUGAAUAACAUGAACACUCUAUUGAAGUGAAGAUUGCAAUAUUGGAAUAUGAUUUUAGUGUUUACAAGUUGAAGACUGAUAAGGAAUGAAAUAAUUUUAUAAAGGAAUUGGAUAAAAUGAAAUGUUUGGUAUCGUAAUGUUUUGUAUUAAACUCAUGUAUUGUUGGUAUGAAGUGGGAAUUAAAAAGGUGUGUAUGUAGGUUGUUAGUUGUAAUACAAUUUUCUAACUGUAGGGGCAAAAUGGUCCGUAAAAUGAGUAGGAAAUAAGGAGACCAUCUAGCAGUUGUAGGAUGUACAUAGAAAUUGGACAAUGCAACCCGUUCAUUAAAAAGCUAAAUUAGUUUCAAGAAUAGCAUUGUACAUUUAUUGAAUACAUUGUUAAUCUAUUUUCAUAUAAUCUUUAAAAAUAAAAAAAAAUUGUGGUGUACUUUUAUUAAAAGAUAACAACAGGAUUAUAAUGACGUACUGGCCUAAUUUUUGAAGAAGAUGGGCAAAAUGGUAAAAAAAAAUAGGGGUAAAUUGGUACUAGCAGGGGUAAAAUUGUCCGUAAACUAUUUUUUACACAGUUUUAACAGUAGAGGCAAGAUGGUCCAUAAAACAGUUUAUUCAUAAAUUUUGGACAUUUUUAUACUAAUUUUUGGACAGUUUUACAAAGUUUUAAUAGCAAGGCCAAAAUGGUCAAAUUUUGACUGGUUUAUACAGUUUUUUGUGUUUUAAAACAAUUUAUACAAUUUUCUGUGUUUUAAAACAGUUUCACAUUUAAAAAAAGGUACACAAUAUGCAUAAAAACUAUAUAAGAAACCAUUUAAAGUAAAUAUUAAACAUAUUUAAACCAUGUACAUAUGACACGGAAUGUUCUUCAAUGUGUACAACACCAAAAGACAAGCAUAAGCACCAAAAUAUGUGCACUAGGCACCAUAAGAUGUGUCAUUGCAUAAUGUUUGACAUAAUCGUAAUAGAAAACACCUACCCCAGUUUAGAGCGACUAGAUUUUCAUGAGUUUCCCCACUCCCAUCUUUUGUUACCACCUUCUUCCUCAACUUCAGUUUCAUGAUCCUCUCAGAAGGUAAUCGCCUCUUGUUGACAACAAAAUGCUAAAAACAGUAGCUUCAUUGUUAUCAAAAACAACUUCAUGGAAAUCAACAACAUCCUGGACAUCAAUUUCAUGUCCAAUAGCUUCAUGGUGAUCAACAACAAAUUGAACAUCAACUUUAUGUCCAAUAGCUUCUUGGUGAUCAAGAGGUUCUUCAAUAUUAGCUUCAGUAUCAACUUGAUGCCCAAUAGCAUCUCACCAUCUUCUUGAACAACAACUACAUGUCCAACAACUUCUUGGUGGUCAAGAGGUUCUUCAACAUUAGCUUCAGUAUCAAAUUCAUGUCUGAUAGCUUCUUCACCAUCUACGUGAACAUCAACAUUACUUUCAACUUCAUGCCCAAAAGCUUCUUAACCAUCUUCCUGAACAUCAACAUCACUUUCAACUUGAUCCCUAAAAGCUAUUCUUCACCAUCUUUUUGAACAUUAGCAUCACUUUCAACUUGAUCCCCAAAAGCUUUUUCACCAUUUUCCUGAACCUCAACAUCACUUUCAACUUGAUCUCCAUCACCUUCUUCAGUAACAGGUGGUUCCUCAUUGUACACAUGAGCUGUUGUAUUUUUAAAACAAAUAAAUUUAUUAUUAUACAAAUGUAGAUGAAUAAACAAUGAAAAUACAAAUCAACCUUCUAUGAGCAACAUACAUCACUUCUUGUUAUGUCCUUCUUGAUGAUAAUUACCACAUCUGUUAAUAGACAUCCCUUUCUCGUUAAUCGUACACCUUUCUUUAUUCUUAAUAUGACAUCUCCUACACCUAGGUGGUACUAUGGGAUCACAUUGAAUAGCAAGCCACAUGUUAACUCCAUUAAUUGGUUUGACUAGAUAUCUAUAGCAACUUCCAAACAUGCUUGUUUUAAACCACACAACUACAUACUCUUCUACAUUUCCAUCCAGGUACAAUAUUGCAGCAACGACAUACACAUAAGGUAUACCACUGAGUUGCCAGGCUCUACAACCACAUGUUUUGCGUUCAAGGUGAACUACUUAAAUUUCAUGGGCUAAUUUCACUUCAUAUUCUUGGUCACCACUUUGAACAACAUCCUAAUACAUGUUAUGAAAUCAUUUAAAAAGGUAAGUUAUUUCAUAUUAAGUCACUUGCAAUUGAAGAAUCUACCAUACCUUUGUUGUUCUUGCAUAUUCUUAUUCCUCUUUCUAAUGGAGGGGUAGAUUUCUAAGUCCCACUUUUUCCCUUUAAGCUUUUGAUUGCACAUCAUCUCCAUCACGUACAACCUGAUUUCUUCCAAUAUUGUUAUUAUAGAUUUCUUCUGGGCCUAUACGAUUGAUACAUUAGAAAAUUUAAAUAUACUGUUAUGUACAACAUCACAACACCUCUCAGGUUUUAAGAAUGUGCUACACUAUGUAUUCGGGCCUCUUUCUAUCUGGUGGUCAUAAGCUUCUAUGGACAUUGCACAAAUUUCCCUCAUGUAAGAGAAAAAAAUCGAGUCAGUUGUAGCCUUGAAAGCUCUUUAAAAUAGCUUCCUAAAUUCGACACUCGUGAACCCCUUCUUCAUAAAGUUAGCGAAGAUGUGUCGGGUAUAAUUCCUAUGCUAAAAUGAUGGUGCCCUUUCUUUAACAGCCUCCAUCAAACCCUACA